GUACAGGCUGCGUGUUUGAAUUCCCGCAUAGUGGCACCUUGCGCUUAUCCAGCCAGCCCCCUGCGGCUGCUUCAUGUCUCUCUCAGCAUGUGAAGGUGGUCACCUUGAGUUGGCAUCACUGAGAGUUAGACAGGAUAAACUAUGGAACACAACACAAAUAUUCAAGCUAAUUGGGAAAUAUCCACAACUGUGUUUCACAGAACAUUACCGACAUUGGCGGAUUGAAGGAAUGAGAUACAACAUGUUUGUUGGGUGAGGAGAAAAUUGGUCAUUGUGAGAAGGGUAUGCUGGAUCUGACCCUGGCUGCAACCAGACAUGCCAGUGUGAAAUCCAGUUGAAAGGGUCGCACGGCUGAAGCUGCAAUAUAAAGUAAAGAUGCUCUUCUUUCAGCAACACCCAAGUAAGAAUCAGAAACAGGUUGACGAGUAUGAGAAGGUCUGGCAGAGUGGCAGGCAGGGGACUGCGCCCAGACAUGGCGGACCACAGAAACAAGAUCCGACAAGCCACCGAGCGGGGGAGGAAGGUGAGAGCAUCCACCAUUUUUAAAUUCAACUCCUCUUAUUGUUCAAUGAAAGAGUUUGGCGGAACAAAACAGUGACAGUAAACAAGACACGUCUUUGUAUUCAGGCUUUGAA
ensembl:lncRNA